AUGUUGUAAAUGAGUGAAAUUUCUGCAAUUACUCUUAUUUUGAAGAAAGUAUUAAUGUUUGCACCCAUGUGUGUGUGGAGCACAGAAGCAAGACAGAAACUAGAAUGAUUUCAUACUUCGUAACGGAGACCUUUGCAACUAUGAAAGUUACGUCUCUGCUCCCUAAAAACUACUGCCUACUCUCCCCAUUUCAAGAGAAAACUAUAGAUGUGACUUGCUCCUCCUUGCCUUCUGCAUGAUUGUGAGGCCUGCCCAGCCAUGUGGAACUUUUCCAAAUGGACUCUGCCAAUGAGAAAUAUGAUGGAGAUUGAAAGAACAGAGAACAGUUGGGUCAGGCUACUUAUUCUCUACUCCCCAACUCCCUCCCUGCUGAAACACGGGUUAUAGCUGUGAACUUCUACUGAAAAUCUCCAGUUGGCUAUCCUCUUCUUCUUUGUCAGCUCCAACUAUAACUUCUCCUGACAGACUGUGGAGAGAAAAGAUAAAGAGUUUGACAAGGACCAGAUCACAAAGGGACAUAAAUGUCAUGAAAUCAACCCAAGGAGGCACUAGUGAGGCAAACAGGCCUUUUGAUACACUGAAAGACCCUUCGGAAAGAUAUUUCAUCUUACGUCACUCAGAAUUCAUUCAGGUAUGUGGCAAAUCACUCGACCUCCAGUGAACUCAUUUAUAAUGGGUUGAAAAUAUCCAAAGAUGGGAAGACUGCCGGGAAGAUAGCAGGAGAUGCUAGCGCCACUUUAUCGUUGUAAUUUCAAAGCAUAAUAGCUCAGAAGUUUUUAUUAAGAACAAGAAUAAGAAUAAACAGAAGGACUUUUUCUCUCCUUCAUAAACAG
rnacentral:lncRNA from 10 species